GCAUAUCAAUAAGCGGAGGAAAAGAAACCAACAGGGAUUGCCCUAGUAACGGCGAGUGAAGCGGCAACAGCUCAAAUUUGAAAUCUGGCCCUCGUGGUCCGAGUUGUAAUUUGUAGAGGAUGCUUUUGGUGCGGUGCCUUCCGAGUUCCCUGGAACGGGACGCCAUAGAGGGUGAGAGCCCCGUCUGGUUGGACACCAAUCCUCUGUAAAGCUCCUUCGACGAGUCGAGUAGUUUGGGAAUGCUGCUCUAAAUGGGAGGUAAAUGUCUUCUAAAGCUAAAUACCGGCCAGAGACCGAUAGCGCACAAGUAGAGUGAUCGAAAGAUGAAAAGCACUUUGAAAAGAGGGUUAAAUAGUACGUGAAAUUGUUGAAAGGGAAGCGUUUGUGACCAGACUUGGGCUUGGUUAAUCAUCCAGCGUUCUCGCUGGUGCACUUUGCCAGCCCAGGCCAGCAUCAGUUCGCUGCGGGGGAUAAAAGCUUCGGGAACGUGGCUCUUCGGAGUGUUAUAGCCCGCUGCAUAAUACCCUGUGGCGGACUGAGGUUCGCGCAUCUGCAAGGAUGCUGGCGUAAUGGUCAUCAACGACCCGUC
rnacentral:rRNA from 2 species